rnacentral:rRNA from 1 species
GACGAACGCUGGCGGCGUGCCUAACACAUGCAAGUCGAACGGGGCAGCAAUGCCCAGUGGCGAACGGGUGCGUAACACGUGAGGAACUUGUCCAUCGGCGGGGGAUAGCCGGCCCAACGGCCGGGUAAUACCGCGUACGUCGGCGAGACCGCAUGGUCUUGCCGGGAAAGCAGCAAUGCACCGAUGGAGAGCCUCGCGGCCUAUCAGCUAGUUGGUGAGGUAAUGGCUCACCAAGGCGACGACGGGUAGCUGGUCUGAGAGGAUGAUCAGCCACAUUGGGACUGAGACACGGCCCAGACUCCUACGGGAGGCAGCAGUGGGGAAUAUUGCGCAAUGGGCGAAAGCCUGACGCAGCGACGCCGCGUGUGGGAUGACGGCCUUCGGUUGUAACACUGUCGCGAGGGACGGAAGAUACUGACGGUACCUCGAAAGGAAGACACCGGCUAACUCUGUGCCAGCAGCCGCGGUAAAGUACACGUCG